rnacentral:rRNA from 1 species
UACGGAGGGUGCAAGCGUUAUCCGGAUUUACUGGGUUUAAAGGGUGCGUAGGUGGGCAAGGAAAGUCAGUGGUGAAAUCAUCCGGGCUUAACCCGGAAACUGCCAUUGAUACUAUUUGUCUUGAAUACUUUGAAGGUAAGCGGAAUAUGUCAUGUAGCGGUGAAAUGCUUAGAUAUGACAUAGAACACCAAUUGCGCAGGCAGCUUACUACACAGUAAUUGACACUGAGGCAC